rnacentral:lncRNA from 1 species
AACGAGGCACCGCGAGUUCCCAGCGCUCGGGGCGGAGGAAAGGGAACCUUUCCCUGCCUUUCCCUUCACCUGGGCUGUUCCCAAGCACAGCCCACGCAGGUGCUGCCUCACUCGGUGCUGCUGGAGAAUCUACUCGGGAAUAUCCUGUUUUCCCAGGCCAGGGAAGGCACAGCGAUCUUCUGCAGCUGAGAAACUUUCCUGUUUCAUCAAGAUUUUAAGCUGCAAAUAUUCGGUGAAGAGUUGUGUGCCAGCCUGCCCCAGUCAGCCCACAGACAUAUUCCGUUUGUCACACUGUGUGGAGGAAUAGCAGUGUCUGACACAGGCCUCGGCACCCUGAAAUCCCUUGCCCAGGAGGAGAAGGGGAAGAAAAGGCUGCACAGGAGAGGCCAGGACAGACUCGGGGUUCUGGGUUGUGUCUCCAAAAGCCUUUGUCCCCCACGGAAGGGCCUGUGCCGCGUGUCCCCGAGCACAGCGGAGAUCUGUCACUCGGGAUGUUCCCACGGGAGCUCAGAGCCUGGCACAGGCUGCAGACAGCACACAGCGGUCACUGCCACCCAUUCCUGCCAAAAUCCCUGCACGAAGGGUGACGUAAUCGGGGAGCAAGUUUCUGCUCGGUGGGGGCUGGCAGCACUCACAGCCCCGUUUGGAACGGCAGCUCCAGGCACGAACCACGCUGGGAUCCAGGGAUCCAUGGCGCGGCCCAGGCCGGCGGUGCCGCGUCCCCAGGCUCGCGGCGUGCCCCAGUUUGAGGGGCUGCGAGCGCUCCUGAAGGGUAUGACCCACUUCCCAGCCCUCCCUCCAGCUCGCUGACAUCCUUUUCUCGCCGUUCCCAAGGGCACCGGCUCACGGGGGAAAAUCCUGGAGUGUUUUAAUAAAGAGG